GGAGGCCAGGAGUAGGUGCCACACAGAGGGGACCUGGGAGGACCCCUGGCACCAGCAGACAGGAGGUCUAGGUCUGUGCUCUGUCACUGCUCCUAAGGGUCUAGUCAGGUCCUGUGCAGUGUCUGGGCCUCAUUCCUUCAGGUGUGAUAUCUUGGCUGGUCUUAAAGAUGCACUUGGCUCUGAUUCCUAGGAGGCUCCUGAUAGUCCUGUUCUACCCGACCUAGUUAGGGAGAGUUCCUGCUCCCCUGGCUCUAUCCCUCCCCUUCCCUGACCUCCAAUCCCUUGUUCUUCCCCUGGCCAGCUUUUUCCUCCAUUCAAGACUUUGAGGUUCCUUCUGCCUAGGUCUCCUCUCAGUCCCAGAGACCUCUGUGGCUCCUGCCCCACACCCCUGUGUCAUAGUGAGUUCAGGGUGAGCCCUUAUACAAGUAGCUCCAGCCACAAGGGGCCUGGCUAAGGGACACAGCAGCAGCAGGUGACAUCCUGGCCCAAGUCCAUCCUCCUUUCUCCUUCCUCCCUGCAGGAAAUCAAGUGCCCCAUCUGCCCUGGCUCAGCUGACCCCAAACUCCUGGUCUCUGUGCUAUGUGGACUCCUCCUGGCCAAGGCCCUGAUGCUGUGAGUCCUGUUUGUGUUCCUGACCUGCAGGUGCCACAGGACAGCAAUGACGGAGGUUUCUGAUUGUAUUAGCCCAGCCUUGCCCCAGAACCCUUGGGUGCGUGAGCCACAGCGCGGAUCCAGGAUGAAUCCCAGUUCUUCCCCUGCCCAGCUACUGGGAGCCGCCCUAAGCAUUGCGCCCCACCUCCCCGUGAGGAAAGGCCAGCGCUAAGCCUAUUGGCGAGAACUUUCAGCCCCUGAUCUCCCCGGUGGUGACCCCUCACCCCUGCCCAGAGCCCUCUUACAUCUACUUCGGCUGCCCUGCCUUUCGCCAUUGGGAAGACCUGGGGCGGGGGUUUCUGUAUCCGGGUCAACGCCCAGCUCAGCAUCUUCAGCUGUGCCAGCCCUCGUCUCCAGCACUCUGUGGUUUUCUCAGCCCCACCUCAGCAGGUCUCCAGGAUCCCUCACAUUUUCCCUGUUUGUUGCCUGUGGUCUGCCCGAGAGUCCUAUCAGUUUCCUCUUGUGCUUAAUUAAAUUCAACCUCUAAACUGAAAUGUGUCAGGGGCAACUGAGCAAGAGGGCAGAUGUAUCCCCUCAACCUCCUCCCCUUCCACCCUAAAUGAGAGAGAAGUGACUUAAAAAUAAACGAUAAAAUUGAAACUAA